UACGUAGGGUGCAAGCGUUAAUCGGAAUUACUGGGCGUAAAGCGUGCGCAGGCGGUUAUGCAAGACAGAGGUGAAAUCCCCGGGCUCAACCUGGGAACUGCCUUUGUGACUGCAUAGCUAGAGUACGGUAGAGGGGGAUGGAAUUCCGCGUGUAGCAGUGAAAUGCGUAGAUAUGCGGAGGAACACCGAUGGCGAAGGCAAUCCCCUGGACCUGUACUGACGCUCAUGCACGAAAGCGUGGGGAGCGAACAGG
rnacentral:rRNA from 1 species